GUUUGAUCCUGGCUCAGGACGAACGCUGGCGGCGUGCCUAACACAUGCAAGUCGAGCGGGGAACGGACGGUAGCUUGCUACAGUUUGUUUCUAGCGGCGGACGGGUGAGUAACGCGUGAGCAACCUGCCUUUAUCAGGGGGAUAACGCAUCGAAAGAUGUGCUAAUACCGCGUAAGACCACAGCUUCACAUGGAGCGGGGGUCAAAGGAGCAAUCCGGAUAAAGAUGGGCUCGCGUCCGAUUAGCUAGUUGGUGAGAUAACAGCCCACCAAGGCGACGAUCGGUAGCCGACCUGAGAGGGUGAUCGGCCACAUUGGAACUGAGACACGGUCCAGACUCCUACGGGAGGCAGCAGUGGGGAAUAUUGGGCAAUGGGCGAAAGCCUGACCCAGCAACGCCGCGUGAGGGAAGAAGGGUUUCGGCUCGUAAACCUCUGUCCUAUGGGACGAAGGAAGUGACGGUACCAUAGGAGGAAGCCCCGGCUAACUACGUGCCAGCAGCCGCGGUAAUACGUAGGGGGCGAGCGUUGUCCGGAAUGAUUGGGCGUAAAGGGCGCGUAGGCGGCCUGCUAAGUCUGGAGUGAAAGUCCUGCUUUCAAGGUGGGAAUUGCUUUGGAUACUGGUGGGCUGGAGUGCAGGAGAGGAAAGCGGAAUUACCGGUGUAGCGGUGAAAUGCGUAGAGAUCGGUAGGAACACCAGUGGCGAAGGCGGCUUUCUGGACUGAAACUGACGCUGAGGCGCGAAAGCGUGGGGAGCAAACAGGAUUAGAUACCCUGGUAGUCCACGCGGUAAACGAUGAAUACUAGAUGUCGGGAAGCAUUGCUUCUCGGUGUCGUCGCAAACGCAAUAAGUAUUCCACCUGGGGAGUACGUUCGCAAGAAUGAAAC
rnacentral:rRNA from 1 species